AGUGACGAUAGCCUAGGAGAUACACCUGUUCCCAUGCCGAACACAGAAGUUAAGCCCUAGCACGCCUGAUGUAGUUGGGGGUUGCCCCCUGUUAGAUAUGGUAGUCGCUUAGCA
rnacentral:rRNA from 6 species